rnacentral:rRNA from 1 species
CAGCACCUCAAGUGGUCAGGAUGAUUAUUGGGCCUAAAGUAUCCGUAGCCGGCGCUGUAAGUUUUCGGUUAAAUCUGUACGCUCAACGUACAGGCUGCCGGGAAUACUGCAGCGCUAGGGAGUGGGAGAGGUAGACGGUACUCGGUAGGAAGGGGUAAAAUCCUUUGAUCUAUUGAUGACCACCUGUGGCGAAGGCGGUCUACCAGAACACGUCCGACGGUGAGGGAUGAAAGCUGGGGGAGCAAACCGGAUUAGAUACCCGAGUAGUCC